CGUAGGCGGAUGUUUAAGUCAGAGGUGAAAGCCCAGGGCUCAACCUUGGAAAUGCCUUUGAUACUGAACAUCUUGAGUAUGGGAGAGGUGAGUGGAACUCCGAGUGUAGAGGUGAAAUUCGUAGAUAUUCGGAAGAACACCAGUGGCGAAGGCGACUCACUGGCCCAUUACUGACGCUGAGGCGCGAAAGCGUGGGGAGCAAACAGGAUUAGAUACCCUGGUAGUCCACGCUGUAAACGAUGAGUGCUAGUUGUCGGCAUGCAUGCAUGUCGGUGACGCAGCUAACGCAUUAAGCACUCCGCCUGGGGAGUACGGUCGCAAGAUUAAA
rnacentral:rRNA from 1 species